GGAUGUCGCUCAGUUGGUAGAGUGCUUGCCGUGCAUGCACAGGGCCCUGGGUUCAAUCCCCAGCUCCA
rnacentral:tRNA from 1 species